rnacentral:tRNA from 1 species
ACCUGGCUGGCUCAAUUGGUAGAGCAUGUGACUCUUGAUCUCAGGGUUGUGAGUUUGAGCCCCACACUGGGUG